CGAGCUUUGUUCUCCCAGUCUAGCCUGAGUCAGAGCUGCUUGCUGUUUGCGUCCUAGGCCACGAGGACUGUCGCUCUUCCUUCAAACGUUUGUAUUAUUAACGUGGUAGACAAAUCCAACCUUGAGAGUGAGGCCGAUAUCUGGCGCGACAGCCACUGGACCUGAGACAUGUUAACUUUUCUCUGCAUUAAGUUAUUUGUUUAGGUAAACAUUUUUGGAGGCACAGUAUGGGCACAUAAUGUGAACUGAACGAAGGAAACCGAAUACUUUAGGCAGGGUCGACAGGGCUGAGUUGAUGCUGUUUGUAUUUCUAUUAUCUGGAUUCAGGCAACAAAAGUUGAGAUUGUAAUAAUGCCUUACAUUUAUUACUAUACAUUUUCACACCCUUUUCAUAUGUGUCAUAGAAUUUGUGCCCAUAAUUGGGAUAGUAUUCAUUCACUGGUAAUUAAAAGUGUUCUGGAUGAUUUUCAAGUGCUGGCUAGGUUCUGGAGAUAGACACAGCACCAAAUAAAACAAGACUCUACCUUCGUGGAAUUUAAAUUCAAGGAGGGGGAGACAUAAACGUCUACAUAAAUCAGGUAGUGGCGACAGGAAACAAAAGCCGGGUAGAUGAGAUGGGAAGUUAGAGGCUGGAGAGGGCAGGACUUUUUGAAGAGGCAGCAUUUGAAUAGACUCCUUGAGGAAGCACUGAAACCAAAUAUUUAUUAAGGCUCUGGACCCCACCCCACCAAACCUCAACUAUAUUUCAAAACCACAUCAUUUGGCGCCUGAACGUGGGGCUUCCGAGUCUUUUCGUCCGGACUCUGAGCUUUGGUGCAAACUUGGAAAACAUGGCGUCUGCUCCUCUGUUGGAGUUGAUGAGCUCUGGAACUGGGAACCCUUUCUCUGCCUUCGGCAGCGCUUCGCCUCUUCUGCCUCCCCUUCUCCCACCUCCUGUUUCUGCACCACCUUGGGUGUGGCCUUCGUAACUGGCUUCUAUACAUCCUCCAUGCAAGCAUGGCUCCUCCCUUCGCUGUCAAGAGGCAAGAAGAGCACCUCCUGGGUCUAACACCGCCUACUCCAGAUCUCUCCACCAGUGUCUCAGAGAGAGAGACAGCCAGCGAGCGAGAGAGAGAACACAAGCAGGAGGAGUGGGAGAGGAAGAAGCAGACUCCCAGCGGAGGAGCCUGAUGUGGGGCUCGAUCCCAGAACGCCAGGAUCACACCCUGAGCUGAAGGCAGAUGCUUAACGACUGAGCCAGGCGCCCCUUAUUUUACGGGAUUUAAGAGACAAAUGCAUGGGGAUAAUUAGGAAUCUAUGUCAAAGGGUAUACAAUACAUAAAGAUGUAAUUUGUGAUCUCAAUAACAGAUAGUAUUAGUUGUAUCCAGUGCAGUUUUUGAUUGUGUGUGAUUGAAGUCAAGUUGGUAUCGAUUUGAAAUAGAUUGUUACAACUUUGAUAUGCAAUCCCCAUGGUAACCACAAAGAAAAUAUUUAUAGAAUACAAAAGGAAAGGAGGAGGGAAUCAAAAGUGUCACUACAAAAAAAAAUAAA
rnacentral:lncRNA from 1 species